AAAUUUUGUGUGGAAUCACAAAAGACCCUGAAUAGCCAAAGCAAUGUUGAAAAAGAAAAGCAAAACUGGAGGUAAAAUAAUUCCAGAAUUCAAGUUGUAUUACAGAGCACCAGUGAUCAAGACAGUAUGGUACUAACACAAAAAUAGAAGCAUAGAUCAAUUGAAUAGAAUGAAAACCCAGAAAUGAAGUACAACUAUCUGGUCAAUUAAUCUUCAAAAAGCCAGAAAGAAUAUCCAAUGG